CUAUCCCGUUCACAGAGAAAACUUCCCCGUAACUGGGAAGGUAAGGUGUCAUGUUGCUGUGGUAACAGACCUUGUCUGGAAGCGUAAAUAUAGUAUAUUAGCCAAAGGUCAUUGCUCAAGAUACGCAAACUAUCAAGCAAACAUAUUUUGCGGGAGGACAACACAUUUAUGUUUUCCAUGUUAUGCAACCGACAAACAAAUAGCAUACCCAGGAGAAGAAAAACAAAUAGAUAGACCUAUACUAAAAAGUAUUUUUUUCUUCAAUAUCAACAUUUUGCAUUCCGUUAUGUUGAAGGCUUACUUACCUCCAACGGACAGGAUUUCGUUCGUGGCGCGACAAGUCCGUCAGCACUCUGCCCGCAGAGCGUGUGCCGCUGACCCGGUAGAUACUGACGGCAGGUACUGACCCGGUAGGUACUGACGGCAGGUACUGACCCGGUAGAUACUGACGGCAGGUACUGACCCGUUAGGUACUGACGGCAGGUACUGACCCGGUAGGUACUGACGGCAGGUACUGACCCGGUAGGUACUGACGGCAGAUACUGACCCGGUAGGUACUGACGGCAGGUACUGACCCGGUAGGUACUGACCCGGUAGGUACUGACCCGGUAGAUACUGUAGUAUUAUUGGGGAGAAAGGCUACAGUCAUUGGCUACAAUUACAGACGUCGGAUUCUUCAAGCCUUGUACCGAGCGCGCCGCUAUAGUCCGCUACAGCUGGAGAGCACAACCCCGGGGACAGCAACAAUGUUGGGAUAGGUUUGUAGUCCGGCGUUGGUCGUUGGCUAUUCUAGAAAGAAAAAGAAAAUAACUGUUUCAACUGAUGAUGAUGAUGAUGAUGAUGAUGAUGAGUGUAACGAAAGAUACAACACGAACAAAUGUCUCAUUAAAAGUAUACUAGUGAACACAACAAAAAGUUUGUUCUGAAGUUGGUGUGAAAUUAUUUCUCGUCUUCUCUAGCCUACGGUUGUUUGCGCGUAAUAUCUCUUACCACGCUUUGUUGACAAGUUGGGACACACCUUGUCGCUUCGAGGAACCCAAAGCCUCUG
rnacentral:lncRNA from 1 species